UACGUAGGGUGCGAGCGUUGUCCGGAAUUAUUGGGCGUAAAGGGCUCGUAGGCGGUUUGUCGCGUCGGGAGUGAAAUCCACUGGCUUAACUGGUGGCUUGCUUUCGAUACGGGCAGACUGGAGGUAUGCAGGGGAGAACGGAAUUCCUGGUGUAGCGGUGAAAUGCGCAGAUAUCAGGAGGAACACCGGUGGUGUAGGCGGCUUGCUGGACCAUAACUGACGCUGAGGCACGAAAGCGUGGGGAGCAAACAGG
rnacentral:rRNA from 1 species